ACGAACGCUGGCGGCAUGCCUAACACAUGCAAGUCGAAUGGUUAAGUGGGCUUGCUCACAAGACCAUGGCAGACGGGUGCGCAACAUAUAGGAACAUACCCUUCGGUGGGGAAUAACGCCGGGAAACUGGUGCUAAUACCGCAUACGUCCUAACGGAGAAAGAUUUAUCGCCGAAGGAGUGGCCUAUAUCAGAUUAGAUAGUUGGUGGGGUAAAGGCCCACCAAGUCUGUGAUCUGUAGCUGAUCUGAGAGGAUGAUCAGCCACACUGGGACUGAGACACGGCCCAGACUCCUACGGGAGGCAGCAGUGGGGAAUAUUGGACAAUGGGGGAAACCCUGAUCCAGCAAUGCCGCGUGUAUGAUGAAGGUCUUCGGAUUGUAAAGUACUUUUAUAGGUGAAGAUGAUGACGGUAACCUAUGAAUAAGCUCCGGCUAACUUCGU
rnacentral:rRNA from 1 species